UACGGAGGGUGCAAGCGUUAAUCGGAAUUACUGGGCGUAAAGCGCACGUAGGUGGUUUGUUAAGCCAGCUGUGAAAUCCCCGGGCUCAACCUGGGCACUGCAGUUGGAACUGGCAAGCUAGAGUAGGGUAGAGGGGUGUGGAAUUCCAGGUGUAGCGGUGAAAUGCGUAGAUAUCUGGAGGAACAUCAGUGGCGAAGGCGACGCCCUGGACUCAUACUGACACUGAGGUGCGAAAGCGUGGGGAGCAAACAGG
rnacentral:rRNA from 1 species